rnacentral:rRNA from 1 species
AUUGAACGCUGGCGGCAUGCCUUACACAUGCAAGUCGAACGGCAGCACGGGAGCAAUCCUGGUGGCGAGUGGCGAACGGGUGAGUAAUAUAUCGGAACGUGCCCAGGAGUGGGGGAUAGCCCGGCGAAAGCCGGAUUAAUACCGCAUGAGACCUGAGGGUGAAAGCGGGGGAUCGCAAGACCUCGCGCUAUUGGAGCGGCCGAUAUCAGAUUAGCUAGUUGGUGGGGUAAAGGCCUACCAAGGAAACGAUCUGGAGUUGGUCUGAGAGGACGACCAGCCACACUGGGAAUGAGACACGGCCCAGACUCCUACGGGAGGCAGCAGUGGGGAAUUUUGGACAAUGGGCGCAAGCCUGAUCCAGCAAUGCCGCGUGCAGGAAGAAGGCCUUCGGGUUGUAAACUGCUUUUGUCAGGAAAGAAAUCCCUUGGGAUAAUACCUCGGGGGGAUGACGGUACCUGAAGAAUAAGCACCGGCUAACUACGUGCCAGCAGCCGCGGUAACAC